GAGGAGCAGAAGAAGGACCUUCAUCCUGGGAAGCUCUCUGCUUUGGCUUGGCCUCUGAGGAAAAAGCAGGGCCUGGAAGGGUACAAAGGAAAGGGGCCACACGCUUCUUGAACUCGCUAACAAAAGCUGCCUGGAGGUUGAUGCCUGGGAUCCUGUUUCAGCAGGUCCACUAGGAAAAUAACACUGACGCUCUGUUCCUCGAGAUGCCAAUUGGGCCUGCAGCUUGUCACCCAGGCAAGGACUCAGGAAUGGGAUGGAGACACUGAGGCAUGGAGAGGCUCUCUGAGGUGCAGAACAGCUUUGCAUGGCAGUAGGGACCAAGGGGGGAUGCCCCAGAAUCAGUCACACGGGUCUUCACACAAGGCCUGUGUUCUCAGCUGACGGCUUGUGCCUGUUAUUCAUGGCAUUAGCAUGCGAGCCGUUCCUGUCACGGGGGCAGCAGGGCCCAACCCAGGGCCUUUCUAAUGCCAAGCCUGUGCCAUGGGAUGGGCUCGGCUCUUCCCAGGAUGUGGAGCUGCGCACAACACCCAGCACCCCCUAGCUGAAUUCUGCUGACAGGACAAAAUCGGACCUGAUAAAAAUUCCCACGGGAGCGGCAGAGAUCCGUUCUUUGCCAGCAGCUGGCAGCCAUCCCUUCCCCAGCAGGCGUGGGGAGAGCAGGAGGGAGGCUGGCAUAGGCAGACCACCAGUGCCUGAGGCUCCCAAGAUGAAUUUGCUUAAAGCUGGGUGGUAACAUUAAAAAUGUAAACCAAAAUUCUAUUUCCUCACCCCACCACAGACAUGUCACAGCCAACUCAACCAGUGCUUCCUCCAGUGCCCAGGCAACGUGGUGCAGAGCUCGGUGGCAUGCAACAGACCAGUGCCAAACUGAAGGCGGCCAUGAAAUGGGAAUAAAGUGGUGCAGGCUGCCCUUUCCCAGCACCUCAAGCCAUGUUGCUGGCCUCAGGGGGUACUGCCAGCAGCCCUCAUAGUGCGCUCUCACCGCUCAGCCUUCUUCAGGAGCAACCCCUUGGACUCUUCCUGUGGGUCACUUUGUACCUUCUCUCCACCCAAAUCACACAUCUGGGUUUUAAAUAGCUCCCAAAACACCCCAGCCCCUCAGGUUUUAUCCCCCUCUGCAUGAGCAGAGUCCCCAUUGCCUGCCUGUGCCACAGGUGCUAAGGAACAGAGGCAGCAAGGGCAGCCUAGGACCAUCCCAAAUCAGGCUCCCAGGCAUUUGGCAUGGAAAGCAGCUAACCUGGAGCCUGGUGAGGGGGAACCAGGUCCUGGCAGGCCUUUCUGGCUGCAGGAAAGCCAAGCACAGCCAGGGCAAUGUCUGCAGCACCUCAGAAGCCAGGUAAGAGGCCAUGAUCACAUCCCCCCCAGAUUCCUGCCAAAGACCAGCUGUCAGGGAGCUGAUGGGAAAGGAACUGGCAUGUUGGAGUGCUCCUGAAAAACAGGUGCUGACAGGCUGCUGCCCACUGGCACCACAGAGCACUGGCACAAUAGCUGCAGACCCUGCAGCACUGCAUCCUGCCGGCACCCAUGGGUGUCACUGCAGGGUGGAGAUGGCCAGCAUCUGGGGUGCCAGCUCAGGAUGCCCAUCCCAGCAGCAUGCAGUUGCUUGCAAACCUGUUGCCCUGUGAAUAGCAGCCCCCAGGCCGUGGGAUUAAGAGCUGGCCUGCAACCAAAUAUGCAGCAUUUUUAGUCCUUGCUUCAUUCACAUGGAAGCUGC